GUCCCAGCUACUCGGAAGGCGGAGGCAGGAGAAUGGCGUGAACACGGGAGGCGGAGUUUGCAGUGAGCGGAGAUGGCGCCACUGCACUCCAGCCUGGGCGACAGAGCGACACUCCGUCUCAAAAAAAAAAAAAAGAGUAAGGACUUCAUAGGACUGUAGUGAAGACGAAAUGAAUGAAUGCUGCAAAGCACUGACAUAGGUGCCGACAUAUAGUAAGCACUGGAUAAAGGAGAAGGGGGUCUGCUUCCGCCAGCAGCUGUGGAACACGGGCAUUGAUGAAGACAGAUGAGUCCACGCACUCAAUACUUUGGAUCUACCACUAAUUUUCUAGAUGACAAUGACACUUCAUCCUUCCAGCAAUGCAGACUA
rnacentral:lncRNA from 1 species